GACGAACGCUGGCGGCGUGCUUAACACAUGCAAGUCGAACGGAAAGGCCCUGCUUUCGCGUGGUGUCCGAGUGGCGAACGGGUGUGUAACACGUGAGUCUCCUGCCCUUGACUUUGGGAUAACUUCAGGAAACUGGUGCUACUACAGGAUAGGUGCUCCUGCUGCAUGGUGGGGGUUGGAACGUUUGGGAUGUUGGGGAUGGAUGUGCGGUUAAACAGUUUGUUGGUGGGGUAGCGGCUUACCAAGGGUUUGAUGGAUAGCCGGCCUGAGAGGGUGAACAGCCACAUUACGACUGAGAGACGGCCCAGACUCGUACGGGAGGCAGCAGUGGAAAAUAUUACACAAUGAGCGCAAGCCUGAGACAGCAGCGCCGCGAGCGGAAUGACCGCCUUCGGGGGGUAAACCGCUUUCGCCUGUGACGAAGCGGGUGUGACGGUAAUGAGUAAAGAAGCACCGGCUAACUACGUG
rnacentral:rRNA from 1 species